GAGUUUGAUCUUGGCUCAGAUUGAACGCUGGCGGCAUGCCUUACACAUGCAAGUCGAACGGCAGCACUGGAGCUUGCUCCUGGUGGCGAGUGGCGAACGGGUGAGUAAUGCAUCGGAACGUAUCCUGGAGUGGGGGAUAACGUAGCGAAAGUUACGCUAAUACCGCAUAUUCUGUGAGCAGGAAAGCGGGGGACCUUCGGGCCUCGCGCUCUUGGAGCGGCCGAUGUCGGAUUAGCUAGUUGGUGAGGUAAAGGCUCACCAAGGCGACGAUCCGUAGCAGGUCUGAGAGGAUGAUCUGCCACACUGGAACUGAGACACGGUCCAGACUCCUACGGGAGGCAGCAGUGGGGAAUUUUGGACAAUGGGGGCAACCCUGAUCCAGCCAUGCCGCGUGAGUGAAGAAGGCCUCGGUUGUAAGAC
rnacentral:rRNA from 1 species